GUGGGGAAUCUUCCGCAAUGGACGAAAGUCUGACGGAGCAACGCCGCGUGAGUGAUGAAGGUCUUCGGAUUGUAAAGCUCUGUUAAUCGGGACGAAAGAGCCUAGUGUGAAUAAUGCUAGGAAGUGACGGUACCGGAAUAGAAAGCCACGGCUAACUACGUGCCAGCAGCCGCGGUAAUACGUAGGUGGCAAGCGUUGUCCGGAAUUAUUGGGCGUAAGGCGCGCGAAGGCGGAUCUGCCAGUCUGUCUUAAAAUUUCGGGGCUUAACCCCGUGAUGGGAUGGAAACUACAGAUCUAGAGUAUCGGAGAGGAAAGUGGAAUUCCUAGUGUAGCGGUGAAAUGCGUAGAUAUUAGGAAGAACACCAGUGGCGAAGGCGACUUUCUGGACGAAAACUGACGCUGAGGCGCGAAAGCCAGGGGAGCGAACGGGAUUAGAAACCCGUGUAGUCC
rnacentral:rRNA from 1 species